ACGGAAGGCAGCAGUGGGGAAUAUUGGGCAAUGGGCGAAAGCCUGACCCAGCAACGCCGCGUGAAGGAAGAAGGUCUUCGGAUUGUAAACUUCUUUUAUGAGGGACGAAGGACGUGACGGUACCUCAUGAAUAAGCCACGGCUAACUACGUGCCAGCAGCCGCGGUAAUACGUAGGUGGCAAGCGUUAUCCGGAUUUACUGGGUGUAAAGGGAGCGUAGGUGGCCAUGCAAGUCAGAUGUGAAAUCCCGGGGCUCAACCCCGGAGCUGCAUUUGAAACUGCGUAGCUAGAGUGCAGGAGAGGUAAGCGGAAUUCCUAGUGUAGCGGUGAAAUGCGUAGAUAUUAGGAGGAACACCAGUGGCGAAAGCGGCUUGCUGGACUGCAACUGACACUGAGGCUCGAAAGCGUGGGGAGCAAACAGGAUUAGAUACCCUGGUA
rnacentral:rRNA from 1 species